rnacentral:rRNA from 1 species
UACAGAGGGUGCAAGCGUUAAUCGGAAUGACUGGGCGUAAAGGGUGCGUAGGUGGUUGAUUAAGUUUCAUGUGAAAUCCCCGGGCUCAACCUGGGAACUGCAUGGGAAACUGAUUAGCUAGAGUAGAGUAGAGGUGAGUGGAAUUCCCGGUGUAGCAGUGAAAUGCGUAGAGAUCGGGAGGAACAUCAGUGGCGAAGGCGACUCACUGGACUCAUACUGACACUGAAGCACGAAAGCGUGGGGAGCAAACAGG